rnacentral:rRNA from 1 species
GAUGAACGCUGGCGGCGUGCCUAAUACAUGCAAGUCGAGCGAACGGACGAGAAGCUUGCUUCUCUGAUGUUAGCGGCGGACGGGUGAGUAACACGUGGAUAACCUACCUAUAAGACUGGGAUAACUUCGGGAAACCGGAGCUAAUACCGGAUGAUAUUUUGAACCGCAUGGUUCAAAAGUGAAAGACGGUCUUGCUGUCACUUAUAGAUGGAUCCGCGCUGCAUUAGCUAGUUGGUAAGGUAACGGCUUACCAAGGCAACGAUGCAUAGCCGACCUGAGAGGGUGAUCGGCCACACUGGACCUGAGACACGGUCCAGACUCCUACGGGAGGCAGCAGUAGGGAAUCUUCCGCAAUGGGCGAAAGCCUGACGGAGCAACGCCGCGUGAGUGAGGAAGGUCUUCGGAUCGUAAAACUCUGUUAUUAGGGAAGAACAUAUGUGUAAGUAACUGUGCACAUCUUGACGGUACCUAAUCAGAAAGCCACGGCUAACUACGUG